GUGCGUGCGUGUGGUAGUGGUGGUGGCGGAGGUGUGCGUGCGCGCGCAACGCUGCAUAUGCUAAAAACAUUUGAAAAUUAAUUUCGUAUCCAACUCAAGGAAUAUUGGUGGAAUAUUCACAUCAAAACUUCAGUGAAAUGUAUACAUAACAGGCCGGAUAUUGUUGUUUGGGACAGAGGGGCAAAGGUAUGUACCAUCAUAGAGGUCAGCUGCCCUCCAGAUAUAAAUGCCUCUUUGGAAAUCAAAGAAAACGAAGAUAUUUAUGGACAACUGCUUUGAAACCCCCAGCUUCUGUAUCCAGACUAUGAAUUCAUAAUCAUACUAAUAAUAAUUGGAGCUCUAGGUUUUGUUAGUAAAGGAGACUCUGGAUAAACUGGGAUUUUCAGGAAGAGAAAUUAACCGUCUGAUUUGUACAUUACAAGUGCAAUGCGUGUAUAUGAGUUGUCCCCCUUGCAUAAUAUCUUGCUUUUUGGAACCUUCACAUGGUCGCAUUAUCUGCUAGACAUAACAGCCAACAUCAAAAGAAGCACUAAACUCCGCUAAAUGAUGCCACACUAUCAUAAAAAAGAAAGCAGAAAAAGAAGAAUGGGUCGGGAAAUGAGGAGCGAGAAGGCAGCAUAAUUCUCGACGAUUCUUCAAAGACAUAAUAAUUAUGAAUUGCAAUCAUCGCCCGUCGAAACGUAGAAUUAAAAAAAAAAAUCGGAAAAUUCUUAAAAGCAAAAACUGGGAAGGAAGAGGAAGGGAGCAAAGAACUAUGAGCGGUAGUUUUUGUUUUAUUUAUUUAUUGCGAAAUCGAAAUCUCCGUUGUUGAAAACAUAUAAAUUCGAUGGAAGGAAAAAAAAAUGAACAAAAAACAAAAGAAGCGGUGUUGGUGUGUGUACUCCGCAUGUUUGCCUGGUAUUUACCAAAGAAUGUCAAUCUGUUCACUUUCAUUUUCUGAUCCUAAAACGAAAGAUUACUUAAAUUCUUUCUUUCAUUCCAUGACUAUGAUCUCAUUGAUCGAAAUAUAGAACAAGUUCGGUUCGUUUGAUCUUUUAAAUCACAUUGAUGCGGCUUCUGCUUUGCGUAGAUACAUAACAUACAUACAUACAUAUAUGCAUACAUAUAUACACACAUAUAUACAUACACAUAUAUAUACAGACAUACAUGUAUACAUACAUACAUAUAUACAUACAUAUAUACAUACUCACAGACACACCGACGCACACUCACACAUAAACUUACAUAUACACAUGCAUACAAACAUGCGUGUGUGUAUGCGCGCAUGUCUGCAUACACACACACACACACACACACACACACACACACACACACACACACAUUCAUAUUAUCAUCAUCAUCAUCGUUGUUGUUGUUAAGGUGGUGAGCUGGCAGAAUUGUUAGCACGUCGGACAAGAUGCUUAGCGGCGUUUCGUCUGACUUGACGUUCUGAGUUCAAACGUUUCCGCGGUCGACUUUGCCUUUCAUCUUUUUCGGGGCCGAUAAAAUAAGAUACCAGUUGAGAACUGAAGUCGCCUACAAUUGCAGGCCUUGUGCGAAAAACUAAAAAGAAUUAUUAAUUACUAUUAAAAUGUAUUCCUGCUUGGACAUUCCAGUUGUCCAGUCUGGAGUUUAUCGCUGGCUGGACUUAAAAUCAGGACUUGCUAAUUCCCAUCCGAAAAAUUGUGAUAAGCAACCGGACACAGUAAACAGACUGAUGACGUCAGCAACAAGAAGCUGACCACUGAAUGUUGCGCCACGUCCAUCAAGUAGGACGGUGACGUCGAAUGUAAACUAACCAGUGGAGAUUGUUGAAUGCGAAUCGUUCAGCCCCGAUAUAAACAUCUUCAUGAAAGCAAUCGAAAGAAGAGAGACGGACGCAGUAAGCAUUCACCACUGGUUCUACAAGUCUCAGCGGAAUUCUUAUAUCAGACAGGUUUCUUCUUCAAAGAUGCACUUCAUGAAUUAUCUAAGUUGCUUAUUUCUUUGUGAGAAAGGUGACUUACAACUGAACUAUAUUCAUCAUAAAUAUAGAACCAGUUAACAACAACGGAACUUGAACUGUUCUGCACCAGUUAUGCUCAAAGAGCGGCCCGUGGGCCUUUCUUCUGAACGAAAAAUUAUCUUGAAUAUUGUUACAAGUGCAGCCCGCCUGUUGAUGAGUGACGUCUUAUGCGGCCCUUUUUGUUUUAAAGGUGCCUAUGUCUGCUCUAUACCUUAGUGACCAAAGGAGAUAUGCGUGAACACAUCAUAUGCAGCGAAUUCAAUGCAUUCUUGAUUAAAGUCAUGAAAUAUUUGUGCUAAUUUGUGUUAAUUAAUCAUCAUUAAAAGAAAGCUAGUUUCUAUUGCAUCUGAAAGGGAUCGUUGCUUCUCAACGUAAAAAUAUUUCAUUUUACGGCAUUUACAGAAUCUGGAUUCCAUUGAUUAAAUAAAACUUGUUCAUAGAUUA